GGUUCCAUAGUGUAGUGGUUAGCACGUCUGCUUUACACACAAAAGGCCCUGGGUUUGCGCCCCAAUGGAGCAA
rnacentral:tRNA from 1 species